rnacentral:rRNA from 1 species
GACGAACGCUGGCGGCGUGCCUAAUACAUGCAAGUAGAACGCUGAAGGAGGAGCUUGCUUCUCUGGAUGAGUUGCGAACGGGUGAGUAACGCGUAGGUAACCUGCCUGGUAGCGGGGGAUAACUAUUGGAAACGAUAGCUAAUACCGCAUAAUAGCAGUUGUUGCCUUACAACUGUUUGAAAGGUGCAAUUGCCCCACUACCAGAUGGACCUGCGUUGUAUUAGCUAGUUGGUGGGGUAACGGCUCACCAAGGCGACGAUACAUAGCCGACCUGAGAGGGUGAUCGGCCACACUGGGACUGAGACACGGCCCAGACUCCUACGGGAGGCAGCAGUAGGGAAUCUGCGGCAAUGGACGGAAGUCUGACCGAGCAACGCCGCGUGAGUGAAGAAGGGUUUCGGAUCGUAAAGCUCUGUUGUAAGAGAAGAACGAGUGUGAGAGUGGAAAGUUCACACUGUGACGGUAUCUUACCAGAAAGGGACGGCUAACUACGUG